AAAUAGGUUUUAUUCAAAACCAAAAAGGCAAUGAGUAAGUUGGAA
rfam:Sus scrofa isolate TJ Tabasco breed Duroc chromosome 14, whole genome shotgun sequence.